rnacentral:tmRNA from 2 species
GGGAGCGACUUGGCUUCGACAGGAGUAAGUCUGCUUAGAUGGCAUGUCGCUUUGGGCAAAGCGUAAAAAGCCCAAAUAAAAUUAAACGCAAACAACGUUAAAUUCGCUCCUGCUUACGCUAAAGCUGCGUAAGUUCAGUUGAGCCUGAAAUUUAAGUCAUACUAUCUAGCUUAAUUUUCGGUCAUUUUUGAUAGUGUAGCCUUGCGUUUGACAAGCGUUGAGGUGAAAUAAAGUCUUAGCCUUGCUUUUGAGUUUUGGAAGAUGAGCGAAGUAGGGUGAAGUAGUCAUCUUUGCUAAACAUGUAGAGGUCUUUGUGGGAUUAUUUUUGGACAGGGGUUCGAUUCCCCUCGCUUCCACCA